GGGGGGCAUCGCCGGCCCACUUACACCAAGGGCUGCUCUUUCUGGCUCUCUUUUUCCUACUUUUCCCAAGAACAUUUGUCAUCCACUUCCUGCAGAGUCUGCAGCUAACCUCUCAGGAGAUCUAGCAGCAGCCACGGAGAUGUCUGUACUUAGUACAACAACAGGGCAGUCUGCACUUGAGCCCUGGACUCUCUCUCCCUAGCCAAAAACUUAGGCGAGGUCAAGAGACAAGAUGUUUUGAUGGCUCAAGUCACAUCCUAUCUUCCAGAUUCCCUUCAGAUAGUGACCCUCCAACCUACGAGGCUCAGAUGUGCUCGUACCCUGCCCCCUCAGAUUGCAUAUGGGUUGAGACUUUUAAUCCAUGGAGAAGUGUGGCAGGAGUCCCCAUCUAGUAAGGAAGAAACUGCAGAAGACACGACUUUGACCUUCAUCAACACCUAAGAUUAAAGGACAAGUCUCAAGAUGGCAGAGAAGAAGAAACGUAUAGAAAGACAAGGGCAACGGAGAGGAAAAGACAAAAAAAAAAAAAAAAAAAAAAAAAAAAAAAAAAAAAACCCUCACCCAGGAAUUUAGGUAAAGCCUCCAACCACCUGAGAAUCCCAGCACAACAAUGUCAGCCAUAGCAAAGUGUCAAUGCUCCUCUGUCAAUGCUCCUUUCCUAUACAGAUGUUUUGCUGAAAAAGCAAAGACUCAAGCUUAUGAUCCAGAUGUUUAUGGCCUGGCAGGUCCUUUUCCUUUCCCCAGAAGUUACCUGAGAAUCUCAAACCAGACUAUUAACUUUGUUUGUAAAGACAUCCACUUUUCUUAAAUUCAUGCCUUAUCAAUUACAGUACCAUCAGGUGCCCACUCAGGAAUCACUCUGUGUUCUCAUGUUUCUAGCAACUCUUUGAAGACAAUAGCUUUAAACCCCACAAAAUGCUAUCUGUAUUUUCUAUGUCAGAGGCAGUGAGAUGGGAACCUUCUGAGGGCCUGCCUCUCUGUUUCUUAACUUUCAUGCUUAAAGUUUAUGUUAAUACCUUUUUAUAACAGCCCACCAAGGGUGGGGUUGGGGUGAUAAUGGAACCGUGAUGAGAAUGUCUUUUCCACAGGAUGGAGAGGAAGACUCUUUAAGACACCUGAAGAAGCGAAGCAGCCAUCUGUGUGGUUAUUGGGUGGGGGCAUUCCACAAGGGAAGUGGAAACAAGGGCCCUGGGGGACAGCUAGUAUGUUCUAACAAAGGCAGUAGACACCAACUACUGCUGGUCUGGGGUAUAAGAAGGAAUACCCUCCCCAGGAAAGGCUCACAAAGAACAGACCUUGAGAUUGACCUUCAAGAUGGUGGUAGAUUUGAACAGUGUGGCUAGAGGAGACAAGUGGCUCCUUGUAUGUGGCUCUACCCCCAAUGCUUUUAGAAUCUAGAUGAUUCUAAAAACCUCUGCCUCUUGCAUAACCGAAAGAGGAAACAGAAGCCCAACGCUGCACUACCAGUUAGCAGUGAUGUCAGAACCAUAACCUGCCCUUGAAGCUUGAACAGAAUACUAUUUAACUAGAACUGGAACUUUCUUUCUAGCUCCCAGGGUGACUGCCUCAU